GCAUAAAUCUUCAGUGGUUAGCGCGUGGGCCUUUUAACCAAAAGAGCAGCCCAAGGUUGAGAGUUCGAGCCUCUCGUCGGGCG